CCUACGGGAGGCAGCAGUGAGGAAUAUUGGUCAAUGGACGAGAGUCUGAACCAGCCAAGUAGCGUGAAGGAGGAAGGCACAAUGGGUGGUAAACUUCUUUUAUAAAGGAAUAAAACGAGGCACGUGUGCCUUGUUGCAUGUACCUUAUGAAUAAGGAUCGGCUAACUCCGUGCCAGCAGCCGCGGUAAUACGGAGGAGCCGAGCGUUAUCCGGAGUUAUUGGGGUGAAAGGGAGCGUAGUUGGGUUGUUAAGUCAGUUGUGAAAGCUUGCGGCUCAACCGUAAAAUUGCAAUUGAUACUGGCAGUCUUGAGUUCAGUUGAGGUCUGCGGAAUUCGUGGUGUAGCGGUGCAAUGCUUAGCUAUCACG
rnacentral:rRNA from 1 species